rnacentral:rRNA from 1 species
UGGCUUAAUUGGACGCAACGCGAAGAACCUUACCAAGGCUUGACAUACCCCGGAAACGUCAGGAGACAGGCGCCCCCUUGUGGUCGGUGUACAGGUGGUGCAUGGCUGUCGUCAGCUCGUGUCGUGAGAUGUUGGGUUAAGUCCCGCAACGAGCGCAACCCUUGUCCCGUGUUGCCAGCAGGCCCUUGUGGUGCUGGGGACUCACGGGAGACCGCCGGGGUCAACUCGGAGGAAGGUGGGGACGACGUCAAGUCAUCAUGCCCCUUAUGUCUUGGGCUGCACACGUGCUACAAUGGCCGGUACAAUGAGCUGCGAUACCGCGAGGUGGAGCGAAUCUCAAAAAGCCGGUCUCAGUUCGGAUUGGGGUCUGCAACUCGACCCCAUGAAGUCGGAGUCGCUAGUAAUCGCAGAUCAGCAUUGCUGCGGUGAAUACGUUCCCGGGCCUUGUACACACCGCCCGUCACGUCACGAAAGUCGGUAACACCCGAAGCCGGUGGCCCAACCCCU